AGCCAAGUCCUUCCCCUCUCGGUGCCUCUGUUUCCUCGUCUGUCAAGGGGCACAGUCACAACCAGCUGAUGAUAUGUUGAGAGGAUAAAAUGAGUUUAUUCAUGGGCUGGCCUCCCUGGCUGCUUUGCUGGACAAGGAUUGCCACCUGCAGAUCCAACGGGGCCGAUUCAGUGGGGAGUCGAGACUAAAGUCAGCCUUCACUGGGCCUCCUGGCCCCACUGACCCCUGAGACAGAGACCUGAACAUCUGAGCACUUUGAUCUCACGCCAGUCUCACUCAAGGCCGCUCCAUGUUCCCUCCACCGCCCUUCCCUUUCCUCCCGCUUCCUGCUCGCCUUUCUCGGGAACUGCCUCUCCCUCCAGAUGCAGUUCUUGACCUUGUCCCUGCCACAGACUCCUGCCC
ensembl:lncRNA